GUCUCUGUGCCGCAACUGGUCAGCGCGUUCGGCUGUUAACCGAGAGGUUGUUGGUUCGAAGCCACCCAGAGACG